rnacentral:rRNA from 1 species
UAGGGAAUAUUAGAAAUGGACGAAAGUCUGAUCUAGCAACACCGCGUGUGCGAAGAAGGCCUUCGGGUUGUAAAGCACUUCUUGGAAGGAUUAGGAAGGAAUGUACUUCCAGAAUAAGUCCCGGCUAACUACGUGCCAGCAGCCGCGGUAACACGUAGGAGGCAAACGUUAUCCGGAUUUACUGGGCGUAAAGCGCGUGUAGGUGGUUCUGUAAGUAGGGCGUGAAAGCUCCUGGCUCAACUGGGAGAGGCCGUCCUAAACUGCAGAGCUAGAGGAUGGUAGGGGGAGGUGGAAUUCCGGGUGUAGCGGUGGAAUGCGCAGAUAUCCGGAGGAACACCAGUGGCGAAAGCGGCCUCCUGGACCAUUCCUGACACUCAGACGCGAAAGCUAGGGUAGCAAACGG